GGGGCUAUAGCUCAGCUGGGAGAGCGCUUGCAUGGCAUGCAAGAGGUCGACGGUUCGAUCCCGUUUAGCUCCACCA
rnacentral:tRNA from 1 species